rnacentral:rRNA from 1 species
UACGAAGGGGGCUAGCGUUGCUCGGAAUCACUGGGCGUAAAGGGUGCGUAGGCGGGUCUUUAAGUCAGGGGUGAAAUCCUGGAGCUCAACUCCAGAACUGCCUUCGAUACUGAGGAUCUUGAGUUCGGGAGAGGUGAGUGGAACUGCGAGUGUAGAGGUGAAAUUCGUAGAUAUUCGCAAGAACACCAGUGGCGAAGGCGGCUCACUGGCCCGAUACUGACGCUGAGGAGCGAAAGUGUGGGGAGCAAACAGG